rfam:Rattus norvegicus chromosome 11, whole genome shotgun sequence.
GGGGAUUUAGCUCAGCGGUAGAGCGCUUGCCUAGCGAGCUGGAGGCCCUGGGUUCGGUCCCCAGCUCCG